UUAAAUCAACUGUCGAUUGAGAACUCAAGCAGGGAAAUUGUUCCAUUGAUGCAAGGCCAACCCAUGAGCUUGUGGAAAAGACAGGUGCGAUGAUUUUUAAACCUGGAUUAUCAUUCAAUCAUUAAUUUUGUUAAAAAUCAGAAUCUUAAUAUUCCCAUGAGAGAUAUGAUUUCUGUUGAUCCUUUACCAACGUAUGACGAACAUUUUAAUAUUUUGGCUUCGUUGAAAAUUGGGGAUCCUAAAUUUUUGAGGAGAGGUUCCCACACCCUACGUGGUAAAGGGAGCAAAUUUAAGGUGAAGGCCUCUGCUCGUGAGUCUAUAGCUGAAGCGAUGACAACAAUUGUAGACAGAAUCGGGUCUGAUAGCCUAGUUACGGAUUUAAAUUGUUUACAGG
rnacentral:lncRNA from 1 species